AGCAGCUUGGCCAGCGUGUCAAAAUUGGGACUCCAUAGCGGGAAGUAUCCAACAAGGCCCAAAGAGGAGAGGAGGUGCUUCUUGUGUGGGGAAGGGGCAUGUCCUGAAUUAGCUCCUUUUGUUGGGUUGGGAUGGCCCGAGAAUUCGGUGUUAGGACAAGUCCAAGAGACAAGGUCUUACUUCAUCACCCAGCUUGGAGUUCAGUGGCAUAAUUGCAGCUCACUGCAACCUUCACCUUCCAGGUUCAAGUGGUCUUCCCACCUCAGGCUCCCAAAUAUCUGGGACCACAGGUAUGUACCACUAUGCCCUGCUAUAGAGAUGAAAUCUUACUAUGCUUCUCAGGCUGGUCUCAAACUCCCAGGUUCAAGCCGUCCUCCUGUCUUGGCCUCCCAAAGUGCUGGGAUUAGAGGUGUGAGCCAUUGCAAUCAACCUUCAAUUCCUUUUUAUUUCAUCUUCUAAAAUUAUGUUUGACAGAGUAGGAGCAUAGCUGUCUUGGACAAGCACUGCCAUUUCAAAGUUCCCCUUGAUCAAAAACUGCCUAAAUCUAAAGGGCAUCAGCCUAAUAGCUAAAGUCAGCGUGGCCGUAAACCACAAAUUACAUCUCCAACCAGAAACAUUCCAACCCUAAGAUAAAUCCCUCCCCAACCAGAGGGACACCCUCCCUGUUUGGGUGAGGCUUACAAUGUGGGCCCCUCACCAUCACAGGAGGAAAUCUCUUCACUGCUGCUGCUGACAAUAGAAGACUGAGGGUGUCCGGGAUCCUUUGCCCUCACGUCCAGUGAGUCCACAGAAACUACAGUG
rnacentral:lncRNA from 1 species